rnacentral:rRNA from 1 species
GGAGUCUAGCAUGUGCGCGAGUCAUUGGGACAAUUCUAGCUAAACCUAAAGGCGCAAUGAAAGUGAAGGCGCGCCUCGCGCGCGCCGAGGGAGGAUGGGCGAGGCGUUCGCGCGCCGUCGCCCCGCACUCCCGGGGCGUCUCGUUCUCAUCGCGAGAAGAGGCGCACCCAGAGCGUACACGCUGGGACCCGAAAGAUGGUGAACUAUGCCUGGUCAGGACGAAGUCAGGGGAAACCCUGAUGGAGGUCCGUAGCGAUUCUGACGUGCAAAUCGAUCGUCGGAACUGGGUAUAGGGGCGAAAGACUAAUCGAACCAUCUAGUAGCUGGUUCCCUCCGAAGUUUCCCUCAGGAUAGCUGGCGCUCGCUUUUGCGAGUCUCAUCCGGUAAAGCGAAUGAUUAGAGGCAUUGGGGUCGAAACGGCCUCAACCUAUUCUCAAACUUUAAAUGGGUGAGAUCUCCGGCUUGCUUAAACUCUAGCAGUGAAGCCGCGAGAUCGGAUCAGAGUGCCAAGUGGGCCACUUUUGGUAAGCAGAACUGGCGCUGUGGGAUGAACCAAACGCGGAGUUAAAGCGCCUAAAUCGACGCUUAUGGGAUACCAUGAAAGGCGUUGGUAACUUAAGACAGCAGGACGGUGGCCAUGGAA